rnacentral:rRNA from 1 species
AUUGAACGCUGGCGGCAGGCCUAACACAUGCAAGUCGAGCGGAUGAGUGGAGCUUGCUCCAUGAUUCAGCGGCGGACGGGUGAGUAAUGCCUAGGAAUCUGCCUGGUAGUGGGGGACAACGUUUCGAAAGGAACGCUAAUACCGCAUACGUCCUACGGGAGAAAGCAGGGGACCUUCGGGCCUUGCGCUAUCAGAUGAGCCUAGGUCGGAUUAGCUAGUAGGUGGGGUAAUGGCCCACCUAGGCGACGAUCCGUAACUGGUCUGAGAGGAUGAUCAGUCACACUGGAACUGAGACACGGUCCAGACUCCUACGGGAGGCAGCAGUGGGGAAUAUUGGACAAUGGGCGAAAGCCUGAUCCAGCCAUGCCGCGUGUGUGAAGAAGGUCUUCGGAUUGUAAAGCACUUUAAGUUGGGAGGAAGGGCAGUAAGUUGAUACCUUGCUGUUUUGACGUUACCAACAGAAUAAGCACCGGCUAACUUCGUGCCAGCAGCCGCAGUAA